rnacentral:rRNA from 1 species
CCUACGGGAGGCAGCAGUGAGGAAUAUUGGUCAAUGGACGAGAGUCUGAACCAGCCAAGUAGCGUGAAGGAUGACUGCCCUAUGGGUUGUAAACUUCUUUUAUAAAGGAAUAAAACGAGGCACGUGUGCCUUUUUGCAUGUACUUUAUGAAUAAGGAUCGGCUAACUCCGUGCCAGCAGCCGCGGUAAUACGGAGGAUCCGAGCGUUAUCCGGAUUUAUUGGGUUUAAAGGGAGCGUAGAUGGGUUGUUAAGUCAGUUGUGAAAGGUUGCGGCUCAACCGUAAAAUUGCAAUUGAUACUGGCAGUCUUGAGUACAGUUGAGGUAGGCGGAAUUCGUGGUGUAGCGGUGAAAUGCUUAGAUAUCACGAAGAACCCCGAUUGCGAAGGCAGCUUACUAAACUGUGACUGACAUUGAUGCUCGAAAGUGUGGGUAUCAAACAGGAUUAGAUACCCGUGUAGUC